rnacentral:rRNA from 1 species
GAGUUUGAUCGUGGCUCAGAUUGAACGCUGGCGGCAUGCCUUACACAUGCAAGUCGAACGGCAGCAUGAUCUAGCUUGCUAGAUUGAUGGCGAGUGGCGAACGGGUGAGUAAUACAUCGGAACGUGCCCUGUAGUGGGGAUAACUAGUCGAAAGAUUAGCUAAUACCGCAUACGACCUGAGGGUGAAAGUGGGGGACCGCAAGGCCUCAUGCUAUAGGAGCGGCCGAUGUCUGAUUAGCUAGUUGGUGGGGUAAAGGCCCACCAAGGCGACGAUCAGUAGCUGGUCUGAGAGGACGAUCAGCCACACUGGGACUGAGACACGGCCCAGACUCCUACGGGAGGCAGCAGUGGGGAAUUUUGGACAAUGGGCGAAAGCCUGAUCCAGCAAUGCCGCGUGUGUGAAGAAGGCCUCGGUGUAAG